AUUCGAUAUCUCACGGAGAACUAAAUCAGCUACUAAACAGGUUUUCUAUCCGAGAAUCACGAGUUUACCCAACCUAUGCCCAAUAUCAUGCCUGAAGGAAUACGAGUCUCGCACCUCUACGCGACGGACCCCUGUUGAUCUCCCUGAAGAAACCUCAUCUACCUGUAUCUACCCCGACACUAGCACGCUAGAUCAAAUGGCUGCUAGCUACGGCCGGGAUCGAUGUCUCAG